GUCCCCCUGCGGUGUUCGUUUAGGCUAAAUAUUCUUUGAACCAAUAUUUAUGUAAGCAGGUUGUGGCUGUAUUGAGUGCUGUUGUGCGCGUCCUUCACGGAUGUACCUGAUGUGCUCAAGCUGCAACCGUCUUGGACCCUCGCGUUCAAGAUGAUAGCCUGACGGCACAUGCGGGGGGCCU
rnacentral:other from 1 species